ensembl:snoRNA
CUUCCCAUUACUUGAUGCUAUAAUUUCACAAUGAUACAAGCAAUUAUAUGCACAAGAUAAAAUAAUAUUGGGCCACUGUAAAUUGACAUAAAGUAACCAUUUUUCUCUCCUCUGUAUCACUGGACAUUG